GGGGGCGUACAGGUUUCGACGGGGGUUUGGAGUCAAUAGUAGCGAGUGGAGGUUUUUCCUUGGGGUCCGCCUUAAAAAACUGGGGAAUUAAAUAUAAACGCAAACGAUAAUUACGCUUUAGCAGCUUAAUAAACAGCUGCUCGUUCUACCUAAGCUUCCCACGGUUUAGGAUAGAACGUCAUCAAGGUGGGGAACUGCUUUGGGGGUGUCUCGACCCAAAAGUGGAUUAAUUGAGACUGGUCUGAUCAAAAGCCUGUCAUUGGGCGUUUGUGAAGAUGAGAAUUUAAAACAAUGACUGCACUCGGAGAAGCUGUUGAUGAAGGACUUUCGGACAGGGGUUCGAUUCCCCUCGCCUCCACCA
rnacentral:tmRNA from 1 species